GAUGAACGCUAGCGGGAGGCCUAACACAUGCAAGCCGAGCGGUAUUUGUUCUUCGGAACAGAGAGAGCGGCGCACGGGUGCGGAACACGUGUGCAACCUGCCUUUAUCUGGGGGAUAGCCUUUCGAAAGGAAGAUUAAUACCCCAUAAUAUAUUGAGUGGCAUCACUUGAUAUUGAAAACUCCGGUGGAUAGAGAUGGGCACGCGCAAGAUUAGAUAGUUGGUGAGGUAACGGCUCACCAAGUCAAUGAUCUUUAGGGGGCCUGAGAGGGUGAUCCCCCACACUGGUACUGAGACACGGACCAGACUCCUACGGGAGGCAGCAGUGAGGAAUAUUGGACAAUGGGUUAGCGCCUGAUCCAGCCAUCCCGCGUGAAGGACGACGGCCCUAUGGGUUGUAAACUUCUUUUGUAUAGGGAUAAACCUACUCUCGUGAGAGUAGCUGAAGGUACUAUACGAUUAAGCACCGGCUAACUCCGUG
rnacentral:rRNA from 1 species